GACCUCAAAUCAGGUAGGACUACCCGCUGAACUUAAAGCAUAUGA
rnacentral:rRNA from 1 species